rnacentral:rRNA from 1 species
CCUACGGGGGACAGCAGUGGGGAAUAUUGGACAAUGGGGGCAACCCUGAUCCAGCCAUGCCGCGUGUGUGAAGAAGGCCCUCGGGUUGUAAAGCACUUUCAGUGAGGAAGAACGCCUGGUGGUUAAUACCCAUCAGGAAAGACAUCACUCACAGAAGAAGCACCGGCUAACUCCGUGCCAGCAGCCGCGGUAAUACGGAGGGUGCGAGCGUUAAUCGGAAUUACUGGGCGUAAAGCGCGCGUAGGUGGCUUGAUAAGCCGGUUGUGAAAGCCCCGGGCUCAACCUGGGAACGGCAUCCGGAACUGUCAAGCUAGAGUGCAGGAGAGGAAGGUAGAAUUCCCGGUGUAGCGGUGAAAUGCGUAGAGAUCGGGAGGAAUACCAGUGGCGAAGGCGGCCUUCUGGACUGACACUGACACUGAGGUGCGAAAGCGUGGGUAGCAAACAGGAUUAGAUACCCUGGUAGUC